CACUUCUCAAUGAGCUCCUUGCUGCCGACAAAUCCGUGGCAGCCUAUGGAUUCGCACGAGAAGAAUAUUAACUGUUCAGUACUGGCAAACUCACAGUGUGGCUCCAUCGAUUGUGAUUAGCCAUCACUGUUCAACAAGU
ensembl:snoRNA SNORA75 Small nucleolar RNA SNORA75